rnacentral:rRNA from 1 species
UACGUAGGGGGCAAGCGUUGUCCGGAAUUAUUGGGCGUAAAGGGCUCGUAGGCGGUCUGUCGCGUCGGGGAGUGAAAACUCAGGGCUUAACCCUGAGCCUGCUUCCGAUACGGGCAGACUAGAGGUAUGCAGGGGAGAACGGAAUUCCUGGUGUAGCGGUGGAAUGCGCAGAUAUCAGGAGGAACACCGGUGGCGAAGGCGGUUCUCUGGGCAUUACCUGACGCUGAGGAGCGAAAGUGUGGGGAGCGAACAGG